rnacentral:rRNA from 1 species
GAUGAACGCUGGCGGCGUGCUUAACACAUGCAAGUCGAACGGUGAAACAGGAGCUUGCUCCUGCGGAUCAGUGGCGAACGGGUGAGUAACACGUGAGCAAUCUGCCCUGGACUCUGGGAUAAGCGUUGGAAACGACGUCUAAUACCGGAUACGAGCUGCGAAGGCAUCUUCAGCAGCUGGAAAGAACUUCGGUCCAGGAUGAGCUCGCGGCCUAUCAGCUAGUUGGUGAGGUAACGGCCCACCAAGGCGACGACGGGUAGCCGGCCUGAGAGGGUGACCGGCCACACUGGGACUGAGACACGGCCCAGACUCCUACGGGAGGCAGCAGUGGGGAAUAUUGCACAAUGGGCGCGAGCCUGAUGCAGCAACGCCGCGUGAGGGACGACGGCCUUCGGGUUGUAAACCUCUUUUAGUAGGGAAGAAGCGAAAGUGACGGUACCUGCAGAAAAAGCACCGGCUAACUACGUGCCAGCCGCCGCUGUAAGAC